UGGAAUUUUAGCAGAGCUCAAUAUUCCAACGGUCAGCCAUUCCAUGUUGGAUGAACGACAAAAAGAAAUUGGAGGGGUGAUUGAGAAUGUUGCAGAGGAGUCUAUUAAAGAGUGGAUGACAAAAGAAAUUGCUUUAACUAACGAAUGUGAUGGAACAGACGACCUGACUGUCUCAGUUGACGCUGGCUGGCAAACAAGAGGAAGUGGUAGAGCAUACAACAGUCUGACUGGACAUUGCUCCAUGAUAGGUUCAAAAACCGGGAAGAUUUUGGGUUACAAGUGGAGGUCAAAGUCCUGUAGAAUAUGCCAGAAAGCUGAAAAUGAAGGUCGAACAUCACACAUUACACAGAUAUCAGCGUUGAGAGGAG